GACAGAGGGUGCAAACGUUGUUCGGAAUUACUGGGCAUAAAGCGCACGUAGGUGGUCCGCUAAGUCGCGUGUGAAAUCCCCCGGCUCAGCCGGGGAAAUGCGCGUGAUACUGGCGGGCUUGAGAUCGGGAGGGGUGAAUGGAACUCCAGGUGGAGCGGUGAAAUGCGUAGAUAUCUGGAGGAACACCGGUGGCGAAAGCGGUUCACUGGCCCGACACUGACACUGAGGUGCGAAAGCUAGGGGAGCAAACGGG
rnacentral:rRNA from 1 species